rnacentral:lncRNA from 1 species
AUGCGGGCGCUGGGAGAGGGAAGCAGCCUGGGUGCUGCUGGGCCAGCGACGGCCCCUGAGACACUCCGUAAUUGUGCCGCUGCGCAGAGCAGGAAUGUGAAGGAUUGCGGCCUGACCUGGGACAUGCUUCAGGGUGGGCAAAAAAAAAAAAAACAACCUAAAAACAGCUGGUCACCUGAGCUCCGGCUAGAAGAGCUACAACCUCUGCGGGUGACGCCGGGCUGGAAACCGGAGCGGGAACAAAAGGUGACUCCGACUGCACAGCGGCAGAAUAACGGGCGGCGCCGCUCGCCGCGGCUGCUGUGUGGCUUCUCCAAGCGGCCGCUGUCAUCCACGGGCCACGCGUGGGCUGCACUUCCAGGGCACAGGUGCUGCGGGCUGUCAGGUGCAGGGGGGGCGGCGGUGACUGAGCAGGCGCUGGGGGUCGAGGGUCACGGCCCCGAGCCGCAGCGCUGCAACGCCAGUGUCCUUACGCACGGUAAGCUCACUGACAGGUGGAUACGUCUGCUAGCAGGUGCAUGAACUUUGAUGUGUUUUUUCUGUGUUUUGGAAGGUUUCAUGUGUAAAUUUAUGAUAAUAUCACUGAGGGUUUCACAUUCUAUUUAGUCAUAAAGCAAAAGUCCGGUGUUUAUGUGCUCGCUGGUAGAGUGGGAUAAGAUCACUGGCCUUUGCAUGUGAGCUGUGUUGUUGUUGUUGUUGUUGUUGUUGUUGUUGUUGUUGUUGUUGUUGUUGUUGUUGUUGUUGUUGUUGUUGUUGUUCCACCAAACACAGGCAUUUUAAGUUACUCGUAUGCAUAUUAUAUCACAGUUUGCAUGUUACUCAAUUCAAUCAAAUAUAGUAUUUUCUAUAAUUCCUUAAAAAACAUUCUCGAUCAUAACUUUAGAAGAGUUUAAUGCAUCCACAAAGCUACACUCCAGUAUAUGCGUUUCUGUGCAGGUUCCUUUGAUCUCGUGUGCAAAAGGAGGAAUGCACAAUGAUCCUGCAUCCACUUGUUAUGAGAACCGCUGCUGACACUUUCAGCCAACAAAUCCAAUGCAUAUGCAGCGAUAACAACCCCCCCCCC